rnacentral:rRNA from 1 species
AUACGUAGGUGACAAGCGUUAUCCGGAUUUACUGGGCGUAAAGGGCGUGUAGGCGGUCUUGCAAGUCAGAAGUGAAAUUCCUGAGCUCAACUCGGGCGCUGCUUCUGAAACUGCAGGACUUGAGUGCUGGAGGGGAUAGCGGAAUUCCUAGUGGAGCGGUAAAAUGCGCAGAUAUCACUCAGAACACCGAUUGCGAAGGCAUCUGACGAACUGCCCACUGACGCUGAGGCACGAAAGCGUGGGGAUCAAACAGGAUUAGAUACCCUGGUAGUCCACGCAGUAAACGAUGAUGACUAACUGCCGGCCCGUUGCGGGUCGGUGGCCAAGCGAAAGCGAUAAGUCAUCCACCUGGGGAGUACGACCGCAAGGUUGAAACUCAAAGGAAUUGACGGGG